GGGACAUUGGUCCGCGCGUGAUGUCGUUUGCAUUUCUGUUUUCUUAAAACUAAUAAGUAAAACAUUGGCCGUCAUUAAACUUGGACUGAUGUAUGAGUUGUUCGAUUUUCCAUUGCUUACAGCUACGUGGGAAUAAUGUCUCGAAAAGACUAUUUGUGUCGUGUUCUGAGAAAACUGGGCAUAAUGCAUGUGCGUAAAGUGUCGUCCCAGAUUAGCCUGUGCAGUCAGACAGGGUGGAUUUCACAUCAAAAUUUUAGUAUUGUUGUAUGUAACCUGUUUUAUGUGGUUACGUCUUUUGUGUAAUGUACGGUAUUGUUUCACGAGCUCGCGCGCCAGAACAAAUAUGUCAAGAGACUAGUGAACAUCUGUCAACUUUAAACUUCUUUAAAUUAUUAGGUAUCAUUAUACAAUAGCUUGCAGAGUAACAUCACUUGUGGACACGGAUUCGGAAGAAGCGCUGCGACGCCAGAUUCCAUAAAUUUGACGUCUAUUGAUUCCUUCUUCGGAUCAGAAUGAUUGUAUUCCUGAAUUAAUUUAUAUUUAUAUUACACUGAACUGAAAAGAAAUAAGUAAAGAAGAA